UAGGGAAUAUUGCAAAAUGGGCGAAAGCCCGAUGCAGCAACGCCGCGUGGGCGAUGAAGGCCUUCGGGUCGUAAAGCCCUUUUUGAGGGGAUGAGGAAGGACAGUACCCUCAGAAUAAGCCUCGGCUAACUACGUGCCAGCAGCCGCGGUAAAACGUAGGAGGCGAGCGUUAUCCGGAUUUACUGGGCGUAAAGCGCGUGCAGGCGGAUUGGAGAGUUGGAUGUGAAAGCUCCCGGCUUAACUGGGAGAGGUCGUUCAAUACUUCCAGUCUUGAGUGCAGUAGAGGGAAGUGGAAUUCCGGGUGUAGUGGUGAAAUGCGUAGAUAUCCGGAGGAACACCAGUGGCGAAAGCGGCUUCCUGGACUGUAACUGACGCUCAGACGCGAAAGCUAGGGUAGCAAACGG
rnacentral:rRNA from 1 species